rnacentral:rRNA from 1 species
GACGAACGCUGGCGGCGUGCCUAAUACAUGCAAGUCGAACGCAGUGGGGACGGGUGAGGAACACGUGGGUAACCUCCCAUCAGAGAGGGAAACACUUGGAAACAGGGGCUAAACCGAUACUGAUGGAUGGACCCGCGGUGCGUUAGCUAGUGGGUGAGUAAACGGCUCACCAAGGCCACGAUGCAUAGCCGACCUGAGAGGGGAAUCGGCAACACGGGGACUGAGACACGGCCCAGACUCCAACGGGAGGCAGCAUUGGGGAAUCUUGGGCAAUGGACGAAAGCCUGACCGGGCAACGCCGCUUGAGUGAAGAAGGUUUUCGGACCGUAAAACUCUGUUGUUAGAGAAGCGGUAUCUAACCAGAAAGCCACGGCUAACUACGUGCCAGCAGCCGCGGUAAUUC